rnacentral:piRNA from 1 species
UACAGACCGAACCAUCUUAGUGUUACUCCA